rnacentral:lncRNA from 1 species
CAUUCUGCCGAACCCUAGCCUCUUCCAAUCUUUUGUUGCUCAAUCGACCUCCAAGUGCUCCUCUCAGCACUAAUUUGCCACCACGAGCGACGAUCUGCGCAUCCGAGCCCUAAAGGAGGGGUUUUCUCCUUUGAAACCCCCAUUCAGACUUCGAUUUCGACGAAGUAAAGGGGGAAUGACGGCUAGCCUCUCAAGGUAAGCUCCUCUUUCAUUUUAUAUUAUUAUACACGAGAAUAUGUGCGCAAAAACUAGGAAGAAAAGAACAGAUUCAAAAAGAGAAGAUGAAUGAAGCUCUCGAAAAUCACCUUUCUUUUCUUUUUCUUUUGUAUUCAAUCUGCCAAUAUUGUAUAUGUAUUUGCGUAUUGCCUGUUGUGCGUUUGUGUUGCGUAAAAAACUCACCUAGGCUAUUACAUGGCCUUUAUAGCCGAAAAGAAAGAAAAAUCAAAAAAUGAAAAUGUUAUUUUUCUUCUUCCUUAUUCGCUGCUGCUCUGUGUGUCUUUUUCACAGGUACGGAGUCUGCUGGCAUCGUACGGAGGUGCGGGCGUGGCGUACGAGGGCUGUGCACUGGUGCUGUUGGAGGUGUUGUCUGGCGCAAUAUGGUUUGGCCGCCAGUGAGGGCUGCGGCGCAAGGAGACCCUUGCCCUAGGGUUUUCCAAAAUUGGGCUCAGUUUCUGGGCCGUUUGGGCUAUUGGGCUAUGUCAUUUUGUAAAUGGACUUGUAAUUUGGGUCUUGAAACAUUAGGGUUAAUUUAUUUUGAUUUUGGGUUGUAAUUGGACAGAUAAUGGACUAUUGAUAUCUAGAUUUUUAUAUUAUUUAUUGUUUUUAUUCAGGCCGGGCAAAUUUGGCCCACUACAACUAGCUUGCACCCUAAAGAACUCAUCAGAUGACACACGGUCGUGUCGUCAGGUCGUGUGUCUCCAACGGCUGAGUCACACGUCGUGUCUCAGGCCGUCUGAACUCAAAAUGAACCUUAAACAACAAGUUUACCAAUUCAAGCUUACUUGGACUCUAUGUAAUCCAUUUACCAGCCAAAAGACCUAUUCAAAUUGACAUUAAACAAGUUAAAAACAUGUUAAACCAACCAUCCUAAGUGCCUAACCAAUGUAUCCUCAUUGAUACCACAAGUAUAUACAAUUUACAACAAAAAGAACUAUCAUUCAAAGUAUUUUAAAUCACACCAUCUAAUAUUCAACCAAUAUGCCAAACAUAAGCACCUCAAUCAUAACAUUUCAAUCUCACUUACCAUGAACUAGUAGUUAAACAUCAUACCAUAUUCACAUAUAUCAUAUAAAUAGUCUAUUUGCACUUAAGAUCAUAUUUUAACAUUUUACAUAUCAAAUCAAUAGUAAUGACAUACAAGCCUAUUACAUGCCAUAUAAUCCAAAAUGAACAUUCCAUAAACUAUCGAAAAUAGGUGGAUAGUGUGACUAGAGUGCCGAUCUGAUCGUCCAACCUUCAAAGUAUCUAUAAGAACAGAAAAUAACACAAGUAAGCACAUUGAAGCUUAGCAAGUUGGACGUACUAAAAAGAUAAAUCUUACUGAAGUAAGUACAACAAAUCAAGUAAUAUUAAUACAACCAUAUGUGUUUCCUGUCAUCCACAAUCUUAACUGGUGAAUUGUAAAAAUUCAAUUCAGAACUCAAAUACAUGACAAAACCAUCAAAAUCACUAAACAAGUUACCUUACCGAGAUUUACAAUCUGAUGAAGGACUUACGGAUAUAAGUACAUCGAUAGUCCAACCGAAACACACCAAAUGCUCAUAAUAUCUAAUCCAUCCGAAACACACCAAAUGCUUAUACGAGUUAGUCCACCCUAUAACACACCAAUGGCUCCGAAGAGCUAGUCCAACUGAAACACACCAAAACAAAAAGUAUAACAUGAGAGUUCGCAGCAAAUGCUGAACCUCAGUCUACUCGGGAAACAUAUAUAUAUAACUCCACAACAAUCUCCACUCCAAUCCCCCAUAACACACCAUAUCUCAAUUGUACUCUGUCCCGUGUUCAAUCUGAACCAAGUAUUGAAUUUCAACAAUUUUUCUCAAAUAACUUUACAUCAGUCAUAAUCAAAUAUAUCUAUUAUCUCACAUUAUACCAUCAAACAUUUCAUAUAAAUGUUAAAUUAUAAACUGUACGAACUUACCAAGACUGAAUUGUAGUAGUUGCAAAAGUUAAGGGACUAUUCUGUAAUUUCUUUUUCCACGAGUAUCAGCUGGGUCUUGAUCUAAAAUGUAAAAUUCUUUAAUUAUUAGCUUACGUUUCAUCUUCCAAUUCACUUUACAUUUUAUACCCUUUUUAUUUUUCAAAUUUAUACAAUUACUCCUAACUUUUACAACUUUUUCAAUUUAGUCCAUUAACCCGAAAAUCAUCAAAUUAACCAUUUUUCUCAAGUUAAAAUUAUAGCUUAAUAUACUAGGCCCUUAAAAAUCCCUAUUAAAUAUCAAAUUCACUAUCAAACCUUGAAAUUUUGACAUUUUCACAAUCUAAUCUUUAAAUCAAAAUCUAACAAAAAUCACUUCACAAAAUCACCAAACAACACAAUAAAAGCUUAAAAUACAUAAUUAUCAUAAAAAAAAUUCAAGAUUCAAAAAUAGAAACUUCUAAAUUUUUUAUCAGAUUCAAAAACGAAGGUACGGGCUAGCUGGACCUAGUUGUAACGAUCUCAAAAACACAAAAAAUUACAAGAAAUAGGUGAGAAUUGAGAUCACAUGCAUAAAGAUAAGGAAACCGAAGCUUGAAGCUCCCUCCGAUGGUGGUUUCGGCAAGAAGAAGAGAAAAAAUGAAUAGAAAACAACUAAUUUUUCAAUUUGUUUUGUUAAAAUUUAAUUUAUUUACCAUUAUGCCAUUAACAUCUAAUAUUCUAUUAUUUUUAACUCAAUUUUCUGUCCCACUACAUUAAUUAAGGCUUAAUUACCCCUUAGAUCCUCCCUAAAUUACUAAUUAAGCCAUUUGAUCACUUAAAUGCUUUAAUUACUAUAUUUUACACCUUUUACAAUUUUGUCUUUUUUCUUUAAUUAACUAUCUAAACGUUAAAAUUUCUUAACCAAAUUUUAAUACAACUCUAAUAACUCCAUAAAUAUUCUAAAAAUAAUAUUUACAAGUCAACACAAUAAAAAUUUGUGGUCUCGAAACCACAGUUUCGUCAUAACUGAAAAUCGAGCUGUUACACUCCCCCUUUUUGAUCAUGAGAUUUGUCAAAUCCCUACUGAAGCAACUUGGCUCCUACUGAAGCAACUUGGCUAAGAGUUCAUUCCUCAAUGCUUUGGUGUGACGAACAUUGGCCUGAAGUUGUUGAAUGGAAUUUUCUUGGGAGGCAAUCUCAGUGCCAAGAUAUUGUUGGAUCCUUUGUUCAAAGGUUAAAAUUUGGGAUGAAAUGCCUUCUCUAGUGCCAACUGAAGCUGGUACUACUUCAGCAAGGUAAGCCAUAGCAUUUAGAACAACUUUAUGGAGUGGAGCUUGGUGUUUCCCUGCAAGCCACUUGUAUGAAAAUUUCAACUCUACAAGCUUCGUUUCAUGUUUUUUAGUUGCUAAGAAAAUUUAAGGAUUUUGAUUAUAAAUAAGAGAAUAGAAAGGAAGACAUAGCCUAGAGUAGACACGACCAACACAUUUGAUGAUCUCCUGAAGAAUGAGCUCUUUUAGGUCAAAUUGAAUCACAUCGUAUAUCUUCCUAAGUAGAGUGGCCAUAUUCUUUCUAAUUGUAUUACUUUGGCUGUUAGGAAUCCAAUUUUUGUUUGCAAUGGAAAAUAGGCCAACAUAUGCGAGCUCUAGACUAAAGGCUUGAAUCUCGAUUGCUUGAGGCCAAGUAAGGUAAACUCCAUUGGUGAUGGUUUUGGCCAUUGUAUCUUAAGAUUUAGGGGUGAACAAAACUUGAUUUGACUAAAAAAAAUUGAAUUUUGAGUUAAUCUAAUCGAGUUAUUUGAGCUAUUUGGUUUUUUCAAAUAAACUCAAAUAAGUAAUUCAAGUUUUAAGUUUGAGUUGAAUUGAAUUUUACAAUUUGAAUAAUUCGAAUUAACUCAAAUAACAUAUUAGUGUAAAUACUUCUUUUGUCAUAUCAAUUUUGAAAAUGAGCAAAAUGGUCUCUCUCAAUAAAAAUUCAAAAUAUUUAUAAAAAUUCUAAAAUUUAUAUUUUAAAAAAUAUAAAAACUCUAAAUUCUAAAUAGAUUAUAAGGAACGUAUAAAAAAAGUUAAAUUUUUUUAUCUAAAAUAAUAAUUUUGGGACCUAAAUAAAUUAGUUAAUUAUUCAAGUUUAUUGUACUAAAGAAUCCUAUUUUUUCUCUUAUUUUGCUUUGAAAGAGUUUUUAAAUAUAUAUGGCUUCAAAUCUAAAUGUUCUAACAUGGAAUUAGUUAUAGUGUAACUAGAUUUUGUUUUGACAUGUUUAAUUUUUUUAAUUUAACUCAAACAAUUUCACUCGAUUCAACUCGAAUUUCAUUUUACUUGACUCAAUUCGGAAAAAACAAAUCGAAUUAGAAUGAUAAAAUGAGACUCGCCAACUUGAAAUUUUUCACUCGAUUUAACUCAAUUCGAUUAAAUGCUCACCCUUAAUAAAAUUCAUCCAACUCAACAUGGAGUAUGGAUGAAGCAGCAACUCCCUAAUUUGUGCAGGGCCAAAAUUAUACCAUCUUACUUGAUCAUAGGCCUUGUGGAAAAGCUUGCUCGAAGGCUUAUUGACAGACUUGAGAAGAUUAACAUUGAACUCAUAAACGACCUCCUUGACAUAUGGUUUUACAAAAGCAAAAGGUUGUAGGUCAUUGUUUUCAAGGAUAACAUCAAUACCUUGUUUCUCAAAACUUCUUUCAUCUAUAUUCUGAUAUUCAGAUGAAGUGUUUCUUUGCAAAGAGCAAAUACCUAUUGGUGCAAGCAGUUGACAAAAAGGUUUGCUUCGUCUUUUGCAGUAGAGCAUAUUCUUAUUUGGAAGAGGGAUCAAUAGUGACUUUUUGAGAGAGUGGACUAAGGGAUAUUUGGCCUCUUGGACUUCUCAUACCUCCAAGAUUGAGAGGCACAUUCUGGAUAGAGUCUGAAUCUAAAGAAAUUGAACUCAGACACGUUCGUCUUCUCUUUGGAGCAGUGGGGAAUAAUUCAUGUGUGUAAUGACAAAUAUCAAUGAAGUAAAAAGGUAGUGACAAAUGUCAAUUAACACCCAAAGUAUACUGAUAAAUUAGCACAUUAACCUUAUUUAUAUUAAAGAUAUAAAAAUACGUAAAAGUAUUUAAAGGAUAAAAAAAAUAAUUUUAAAAAAUGGGUUUGCUAAACGAGAUUUUUGAGAAAGGAAAAUUUUCAAACUUUGAUAAUGAUUUGUGCAUAAUAAAUUAAUCCCACUUUCCAUUAAAAAUAAUUAAAAUAAAAGGCAAGCUUUGUUGCAAGUAUAAAGCAAGCAAGCGAAGGCAAUGCCCCAUGCCUUGCAAUAAAGAGAAAAGAGACUUGGUCAAAUGGACUUUGUUCAUUUUUAAUCAUUUUAUAAACCCAUGCCAUGGUUACAUAUAUAUAUAUAUAUGAAUAUUUAGGGCUUCAGAUCACCAUAAAUUUCGACAAAUAUUUAAAAAUUUAAAUAAAUAUAUAUAUUUUUAAAAUUUUGAAAUAUACCUAUUUUGAAUGUAUUAUCACAUACAACAUUUACCCAAGUUUCACUUUUAACAUAUAAUGAUGAAACCUUGCAUUCAGCUUUAGUUUGUAAUGAUUAAAGCAUGGAUUAGAAUUAAAGCAUAUAUAUAUUUCUUAAAAUAAUUGACAACAACUAAUUAUCCAACACCCAUUUCUUUUGGAAGAAUCAGCAUUAUUAAUUAAUUUAUUAUGUGCUAAAGUUUGUUGUUUUUUAAGUUAUGGAUUCACCUCUGCCUUUUCUUCUAUCUACAAACCUUUAUUUAUGCCACUUUUAAAGUACUUAGUUGGCAUUACUGUAUAAAGACAACGGUUCCACAUCCAACUACUUGAAAUUCUUAGAAAGCUUGCCAUAGUCUUCAGUUUCUGAGGGCCGAUCAGUUCAAACCAUUUUAAAAUUAGGACCCAGCUGAAUCUUUAUUUAUGAACCACUACCAAUACUAUAUGUAUAUUUAAAUUUGAGAGUUUCAAUUUAAUGCAUAUUUUUUAGCAACAUAAUAGAAAAUUAGUUUUGGGAAAUCCAUGAUUAGAGCAUCCUCCUGUUAUAAAGUAAAUAUCAAAAGAUGAAAUGGACAACUUCACAUAUAUAUAUAUAUAUAUAUUAUUAUUUCAUAUGCAAAUCUUAUACAAGUAUACUUGUAUUUAUAGGGUUUCAAUAAGUUAUGGAGAUAUAUAAUCACACCCAUAUAAAACUGAAAUAAUUUACUUUUAAGAGAUGAUGAUAAUAAAACCAUUAUAUUUAUACUACUGCACUAGGGUUGGGGAUGACGCGGUAAAAAAGUAAAAGACAAAAACAAACCUCUUCGCCAUCUCCAUAAUUAAACUCUAUAAUUAUGGCGUUAGAAAAGCUUACUCUUUUUCUUCUUUUGCCCAUUAGUUAGAAAAGCUUACUUAGAAAUUACCCAUAAAUCACUCAAGGAAAUCAUAAUAUAGCUGUCAGGUCUUCCAACUCCAUUGAGUUCUUCAUACUAUCAGUAAACGGAUUUGUCGGAUACCCCAUGAAGCAACGGUUUAUCCUUCAUGCCCACGUCGCAGCAUCUCUGAAGAUCUUUGAAAGUAGAGAAAGGACCCGAGUUUGAUGAAGAAUCAGAUCGGGAUACGACUCGGAGAAUCUCUUCGAAGAACGACUCGUCGCAUGGGAUGAUUAAUGGUCCCAUGUUUUUGAAACCAUACUCUUCUUCGGUUUGUACGAGGAGUUUUUUGAAGAUUGGGUGAUUUAGGUACGUCGCGCGUACGAUAAAUCUCCUGAGACUUGUGCCCACACAGACCGCCACGUGUCCAGCAGGGACAUCAGACGGCGCAUCUCCGUUGUUGUUGAUGGUGUUGUUGCUGGCCGUUAUGCUGGCUUUUCUUCGCCACUGCUUCAGCAUUUGUCGGAUGCGGACAAUUCGACGAAUUUUCUGGCACUUUCCCAUCGAAGAGACAUUUUUUUCCCAAGAAAAGUGACAGAAGAAAAAGUGAAAACAGAGCGUGGGAACUUUUUCCAAUUUUUGCGUUGAAUUUAGGCUGGAAUGAAGUAUUUUAAGGUUAAGGGUUAAAGAAACUGCCCCUGGUAGUGGAGAUAAUUACGAGCAGUUGGUGUCAUAGCCAUGUGAUCACCUAUUAUCAUAAAUUAAUGAGAGUUUAGUUAGGUUUUAAUCAAUGCUUCAUUUUAAUUCAUUAAAAUUUUAUUUUAUUUCCUAUUUGUUUUGUUUCAAUUUUCAACUUAGCUUUUUAUUUUAUUGAUAAUUUUUAAUUUUAGAUAAUGAAACUUACUCCACAAAAAUAAUCAAACUUUUAUAAAACAAACAAUUAAUUUGUUACAUCUACAUCUGGUCAGGUCGGGUUUAGGUCAGAUCGAUACUAAAUUUUAGGUUCGUCCCAGCCCAAAAAAAUAGACCUAAAAUUUUGUUCAAGCCCUAUCUGGAUAAAAAUUCUAAACUCGAGUCUGGCUCAAUUUACCCGUAUUUAAAUUUUUUAAUAUUAUUUUUAUAUAUAAAAAUAAAUUUAAAAAAUAUAAUAUAUCAAAUACACUAAAAAUAUUAAAAUAAGUGUUUCCAAAAAAUUUCAAUAAAAAUAAAUUUAAAAAAUAUAAUAUAUCAAAUACAGUAAAAAUAUUAAAAUAAAUGUUUCCAAAUAAAUUGAAAAUACAUUAAAAAAUCUUUAUAUUUAAAUAACACUAAUAUAGUUGCAACAUAGCAAGCAAAUAUUUCUAAAAUAGUAAUAAAAUUAACAAUAAAACAAGAGUUCUACAAUAUCCAAAUAAUAACAAGAAGAUAAUAACAAUAUAAUAACAAAAUGAAAGCAAAACAACAAUAGAGAGAAAAAAUUAGGUAAAUUCAGACUAGACCUGAACAAAAAAGUUUAGCUGAGGCUCUACCCUUUUAGAAAACAGGUCUUAUUUUUUGUCCAAGUCUAUUUUUC